rnacentral:lncRNA from 1 species
CUCCCCGCCGCCACCGGUCUACAAAUAUAAGUCGCCACCACCACCUGUGUACCACGUCCCAGCGCCGGUUUACAAGUACGAAUCUCCUCCGCCACCGGUGUACAAGUACAGCUCUCCGCCACCACCAGUCUACAAGUAUAAGUCGCCACCACCACCUGUGUACCACGCCCCUGCUCCAGUCUACAAGUACAAAUCUCCUCCGCCACCGGUGUACAAGUACAGCUCGCCACCACCACCGGUUUACAAAUACAAGUCGCCUCCUCCACCUGUUUACCACGCCCCGGCUCCAGUCUACAAGUACAAAUCCCCGCCACCACCGGUGUAUCACUACAGCUCCCCGCCACCACCUGUUUACAAGUAUAAGUCUCCACCGCCGCCUGUUUACCACGCUCCCGCCCCAGUCUACAAGUAUAAGUCACCGCCGCCACCUGUUUACCACUACAGCUCCCCACCACCCCCGGUUUACAAGUACAAAUCUCCUCCUCCCCCUGUCUACCACGCUCCAGCACCGGUUUACAAGUAUAAGUCUCCGCCGCCACCGGUCUAUCACUACAGCUCCCCGCCACCACCGGUGUACAAGUACAAGUCGCCACCACCGCCUGUGUACCACGCUCCAGCACCGGUUUACAAGUAUAAGUCGCCUCCUCCACCUGUUUACCACUACAGCUCGCCACCACCGCCGGUCUACAAGUACAAAUCCCCGCCACCUCCUGUGUACCACGCCCCGGCUCCAGUUUACAAGUAUAAGUCACCACCGCCUCCGGUCUACAAGUACCAAUCCCCGCCUCCAC